GUCUAUGGCCAUGCCACCCUGAACAAGCCUGAUCCCAUCUGAUCUUGAAAGCUAAGCAGGGUCAGGCCUGGCUAGUACUUGGUUGGAAGACCACCUACAAAGAUCAUAGUAAAAAUAUAGGGA
rnacentral:rRNA from 1 species